CGAAAGCCUGACGGAGCAACGCCGCGUGAGGGAUGAAGGCCUCUGGGCUGUAAACCUCUUUUAUCAAGGAAGAAGAUCUGACGGUACUUGAUGAAUAAGCCACGGCUAAUUCCGUGCCAGCAGCCGCGGUAAUACGGGAGUGGCAAGCGUUAUCCGGAAUUAUUGGGCGUAAAGCGUCCGCAGGCGGCCUGUUAAGUCUGUCGUUAAAGCGUGGAGCUUAACUCCAUUUAAGCGAUGGAAACUGCAAGACUAGAGUGUGGUAGGGGCAGAGGGAAUUCCCGGUGUAGCGGUGAAAUGCGUAGAUAUCGGGAAGAACACCAGUGGCGAAGGCGCUCUGCUGGGCCAUAACUGACGCUCAUGGACGAAAGCCAGGGGAGCA
rnacentral:rRNA from 1 species